rnacentral:rRNA from 1 species
UACAGAGGUCUCAAGCGUUGUUCGGAUUCAUUGGGCGUAAAGGGUGCGUAGGUGGCGUCGUAAGUCAGGUGUGAAAUUUCGGAGCUUAACUUCGAAACUGCAUUUGAUACUGCGGUGCUUUGAGGACUGGAGAGGAGACUGGAAUUUACGGUGUAGCAGUGAAAUGCGUAGAGAUCGUAAGGAAGACCAGUGGCGAAGGCGGGUCUCUGGACAGUUCCUGACACUGAGGCACGAAGGCCAGGGGAGCAAACGGG